rnacentral:misc_RNA from 1 species
UUUCCGUAGGUGAACCUGCGGAAGGAUCAUUCAUAAUAAGUGUUUUAUGGCACUUUUUUAAAUCCAUAUCCACCUUGUGUGCAAUGUCAGGGUUGAUUUUUCUCUCGAGAGGAUCGGCCCCAAACAUCAAUUAUAUCUCAACUCUUUGUCUGAAAAAUAUUAUGAAUAAAACAAUUCAAAAUACGACUUUCAACAACGGAUCUCUUGGCUCUC